rnacentral:rRNA from 1 species
UACGGAGGGUGCAAGCGUUGCUCGGAAUCAUUGGGCGUAAAGCGUACGCAGGCUGUUCGUUAAGUCGGGUGUGAAAGCCCGGGGCUCAACCCCGGAACGGCGCCCGAAACUGGCGAGCUUGAAUGCGGGAGAGGGAAGCGGAAUUCCUGGUGUAGAGGUGAAAUUCGUAGAUAUCAGGAGGAACACCGGUGGCGAAAGCGGCUUCCUGGCCCGACAUUGACGCUCAUGUACGAAAGCGUGGGGAGCAAACAGG